UGCGUAGGUGGCGCUGUAAGUGGGGUGUGAAAUCCCGGGGCUUAACUCCGGAACUGCAUUCCAUACUGCGGUGCUUGAGGACUGGAGAGGAGACUGGAAUUUACGGUGUAGCAGUGAAAUGCGUAGAGAUCGUAAGGAAGACCAGUGGCGAAGGCGGGUCUCUGGACAGUUCCUGACACUGAGGCACGAAGGCCAGGGAGCAAACG
rnacentral:rRNA from 1 species